UGUUUAUUCCAUCAACUCGUCUCGAAGUCUCAAACCGAUUCAAUAGCAGUGAGUUGACUUAGCAGCCGCUUAUUUCCGUAUGGAGAUGGAAACGAAGGAUGAGUUCACGACUCGCGAGCCAGAGCAGGCCCAAGUGGGAUCUCGAGGACCGAGGUUAGUAAUUAACGAGAUGGUGAUGAGGAACUUCAAGUCUUAUGCCAGUGAGCAGCGCGUCGGUCCCUUUCACAAGGUGCGUGCAGUUCGCUGUGACAAUGGAGAAAAGACUGAUAUCUCUAGAGUCUUUUUGGUUGAACAAGUAAAAGGAAUGUUGGAUAAGAUUCAACAGAACCUAUUCGAUGUGGCAAAACAAAAAAGAGAUGCCUGCAUUGAAGUUGUAAAAACGAGGUGGAGAAAGAUGUGAAAGCUCGAACAAGGGGUGAGAUGGGAGCAGCUAAGUCUCUUUGUACCCCAUUCGAACAACCUGAACUCUCAGAAGCACGAGUAAGCAAGCAACAUAAGUUAUUCAGCUGAAGGAUUAGGAUCAACUUUGCUACUUAGUGUGUACGAAGGUGAGACACCGUUUAAGGAAAGAUCAUGGGAUUGAGGGUGGAAUUCGUGUUGUUUUCUCUUUAGAGAAACCUAAAGCUCAACUGCUUCCUUUUAGAGGACCAAGUGGUGAGGAAGACAACCCUUCAGAUUAUCAAGUGAGGAUGCUUGCUUCUUACUUUUGCAGUUUUAAAGUACUCUGUUUGAUCACCUAACAUCAUGCAGUGGGGAAACUCAUCCAAUAUAUUGAAGCAGAAUUUGAAAUGAGAAUUGAAAGUACAUUUGGAUGGAGCUAAAGUUGUGUUUCUUUUAGCAAUAUAUUUGAACUUGCUGGUGUUAGGUCCCUGGUUUUUGCUAUCUCUAGAUUUAAGGGUAGAAGGAAAAGGAAAAUAUUUAGGUCUACAUUAGUAUGUAAUCUACAUGUUUAAUCCAACAAUUUAAUGUGUUAUUCUGCUGUCAGUUAGUACCUGGGCAGGUUCAACAAUUUAAUGCAUUGUAUUUUUUAUUA